ACAGUCACUGACAUUAGAUACCCCUGUAGUCCAGGGUGUAAACGCUGCAGACUUGGUGUUGGAAGCCCUUUGGGGGCAUUCAGUGCCGGAGAGAAGUUGUUAAGUCUGCUACUUGGGAGUACGUCCGCAAGGAUGAAACUUAAAGGAAUUGGCGGGGAGCACCGCAACGGGAGGAGCGUGCGGUUUAAUUGGAUUCAACACCGUAAACUCACCAGGGAAGACUGUUACAUGAAGGCCGAGAUGAAGACUCUGCUAGAUUUUCAG
rnacentral:rRNA from 1 species